AGAAGGUGGAAAUUUUGGAUUAAUCGGAAUAUUGUUGUCUUGAAGCUUUAGAUUUUGUUCGCGCUUUUGAUUGAAACAAAAAUUAUCAGGAAUUAAUAGAAGUACAGAGGAAACAAAUAAGCAAAUAAAAAAGAUCAAAGAUGAGAUGGCAAAGUUGAAGGCUUUGGAGGACACCUAUGAGAAAACACUUCACGAUGAAACUAAAGAACUUGAACAACUCUUUAGCCGGAGGAAUACUCUUAUAGCUAAAAAGAUGAGUACUCAAAAAAGAUAAGGAACUUGGGCCCGUUAUCUUCUGAUGCUUUUGAGACUUAUAGACGAAGGAGCAUCAAAGAGUUGCAGAAGAUGCUUCACAGAUGCAACGAGCAGCUCCGAUAGUUUAGUCAUGUAAACAAGAAAGCACUUGAUCAGUACGUGAACUUCACAGAGCAAAGGAAGUGAGCAUCUCACAUGGACCGUGUCUUUAGUUUUGUUCAGUAUUUAUAUGAUGGAGAUUGUCGCUAAAAGCCGGAUAUUCUUUUUUGAUUCAUUUCUGUCGUCAUUGUUUAUUGUGCAAGAUUAUUUAUUAUGCAAGAUUAUUUAUUCUCUCAUUAUGUGUACUAUAAAGAAAAAUAUUUAUGUCAUUCUUGUGGAAAAUGUAGAUGAA